ACAGAUUGAGCUGGCUCAGGAUGAACGCUAGCGGCAGGCUUAAUACAUGCAAGUCGAGGGGCAGCGGGAGUAGCAAUACUUGCCGGCGACCGGCGCACGGGUGCGUAACACGUAUACAAUCUACCCUUUACAGGGGGAUAGCCCUCCGAAAGGAGGAUUAAUACCCCAUAAUAAAUUGAAUGGCAUCAUUUGAUUUUGAAAGAUUUAUCGGUAAAGGAUGAGUAUGCGUCUGAUUAGCUAGUUGGAGAGGUAACGGCUCCCCAAGGCGACGAUCAGUAGGGGAUCUGAGAGGACUACCCCCCACACUGGUACUGAGACACGGACCAGACUCCUACGGGAGGCAGCAGUAAGGAAUAUUGGUCAAUGGAGGCAACUCUGAACCAGCCAUGCCGCGUGCAGGAAGACGGCAUGAUGGGUUGUAAACUGCUUUUGUACGGGAGAAAACCCUUUCACGUGUGGGAGGUUGAUAGUACCGUAAGAAUAAGCAUCGGCUAACUUCGUGCCAGCAGCCGCACCAAAGACGAAGGAUGCAAGCGUUAUCCGGAUUCACUAUGGGUUUAAAGGGAGCGUAGGUGGACUUGUAAGUCAGUGGUGAAAUCUCUCAGCUUACCUGAGAAACUGCCAUUGAUACUGCAGAUCUUGAGUACAGAUGAUGUGGGCGGAAUAUGACAUCCAGAAGUGAAAUACUUAAAUAUGUCAUAGAACACCGAUUGCGAAGGCAGCUCACAAAACCGUAACUGACACUGAGGCUCGAAUUGCGGGGAUCAAACAUAUAUUAGAUACCCUGGUAGUCCGCACCGUAAACGAUGAUAACUCGUUGUUAGCGAUAUGACAGUUAGCGACCAAGCGCAAGCGAUAAGUUAUCCACCUGGGGAGUACGCCGGCAGUGUGAAACUCAAAGGAAUUGACGGGGGUCCGCACAAGCGGAGGAGCAUGUGGUUUAAUUCGAUGAUACGCGAGGAACCUUACCUGGGCUUGAAAGUUAGUGACCGUCUCUGAAAGGAGAUUUUCCGCAAGGACACGCAACUAGUUGCUGCAUGGCGGUCGUCAGUUCGUGCCGUGAGGUGUUGGGUCAAGUCCCGCCACGGGCGCAAGCCCUGCCAUUAGUUACCAGCGGGUAAUGUCGGGAACUCUAAUGGAACUUCCCGUGCAAACGGUGAGGAAGGUGGGGAUGACGUCAAGUCAUCACGGCCCUUACGUCCAGGGCUACACACGUGCUACAAUGGCCGGUACAACGGGCAGCUACACAGUGAUGUGAUGCUAACCUCUAAAAACCGGUCUCAGUUCGGAUUGAAGUUACGCAACUCGACUUCAUGAAGCUGGAUUCGCAAGUUAUCGCGCAUCAGCAAUGGCGCGGUGAAUACGUUCCCGGGCCUUGUACACACCGCCCGUCAAGCCAUGAAAGCUGGGAGUAUCUAAAGUCGGUAUACGCAAGGCGCCGCCUAGGGUAAAACCGGUGCUUGGUUA
rnacentral:rRNA from 1 species